AUUAAUGAAAUAUGUACUGUCUCAUCUAUAUUUUAUGAAAUUAAAAUUUCAAUAAAAAUGUUGAAAUUUUUUUAUGGGACGAUAAGACCCUGUAGAAUUUUAUAUUGUUAUGAUUUAGUACUUAAUACUUAAUACUUAACAAUAUUUGGUUGGGAGGACUAUUAAAUUUAACAAACUUUAUAUUAGUAUAUACUUUGAUUAAAGAAAAAAUAAUGACCUUCAAAUUGAAAUUAAUAGAAUAAAUUACCUCAGGGAUAACAGCGUAAUAUUUUUUUAUAGACCUUAUAGAAAAAAGUGAUUGCGACCUCGAUGUUGAAUUAAGAUAAAUUUUAAAUGCAGGAGUUUAAUAAU
rnacentral:rRNA from 1 species